AAGUUUCUGAACUUAAUAAAAUU
rnacentral:snRNA from 1 species